UUCCAUGGUUUUGAUGCCUCGCCCUAUACAUCAGAUGUAGAUGUUCCCUCAUCAGUUGAUACAAGUAUCACCUCCCCAGAGCCCAAAUCAGUUGAUACGAGUAGUAUCACCUCUCCCAUUCCUUCAGACUCCCAAGCACCUGCCCAUCCCACUCCAUAGCCCAGCCACCCACUCUCAUGUACCAUAUGACCAUCCCAGUAAGCAAGCCAACCACUAGAAUUUGACUGGCAUGCACCUGUGACUUACAUAAACCAGACCUCUACAUAGCCUACAUGUCUUCAUUUUGCUGGAGACUGCCCAUCAUCCUAGCCUGUUAUCUGUGAUAAAGCACACUGAAGUUAGGUUUGGAAUGCAUCCUUAUCAUGAAUGCUCUACACCUCCACCUCCAUCUCCCACAACCUAGGUAACAGCUUUGAGACUCACUAAAAGUUGGUAAGUUAUGUAAGGAAUUUCUAAAUUAAGUUUUAUACUACAUGUUAUAUGUGAUAUUAAACCACUGUAUGGUGCAUAUUACUGUAUGUAACUUACUAUGCAUAGAGUACUUACUGACAUACUAAUUAUUUUUUGUACAUUCCAGAACCCCCUGAAUGAUGUAGGCUAUGGGGCCACAUAAGACUUUGUCCAUCCAGGGUUACAUUGAAAGACAACUUUAAACUAAAGAGCUACCAGACUGGGAUUUUAGUGUAUCAAGGAUCUAACAAAGUGUGCAAUGCAUGUGUAUACGUAUACAGUGACAGUGUUUAGUGUAUACCCUAAGGAUUAAGUGUAGUGUACAUUGUGCUUUUUAGUGUCACAAGAGUUUAAUAAAGAAUUAUACCUUCAAGAACCAUCCUUUGCCAUUGGAAUAACCACACUACACAUCAUGCAAUCUACUUGCAUGUCACACAGGUAAGGUCUCUAACUUUUUCUUAGUUUAAGGCAUAUUUCCAAGUGUCGUUCCGGCUUACGACGAUUUUCGGCUUACGACGCGCCUCAAGAACGGAACCCCCGUCGUAACCCGGGGACUGCCUGUAUAUAU